rnacentral:rRNA from 1 species
GUGGGGAAUAUUGGACAAUGGGCGAAAGCCUGAUCCAGCCAUGCCGCGUGUGUGAAGAAGGUCUUCGGAUUGUAAAGCACUUUAAGUUGGGAGGAAGGGUAGUAACCUAAUACGUUGCUACUUUGACGUUACCGACAGAAUAAGCACCGGCUAACUUCGUGCCAGCAGCCGCGGUAAUACGAAGGGUGCAAGCGUUAAUCGGAAUUACUGGGCGUAAAGCGCGCGUAGGUGGUUCAGUAAGUUGGAAGUGAAAUCCCCGGGCUCAACCUGGGAACUGCUUUCAAAACUGCUGGGCUAGAGUACGGUAGAGGGUGGUGGAAUUUCCUGUGUAGCGGUGAAAUGCGUAGAUAUAGGAAGGAACACCAGUGGCGAAGGCGACCACCUGGACUGAUACUGACACUGAGGUGCGAAAGCGUGGGGAGCAAACAGGAUUAGAAACCCCAGUAGUCC